GAUGAACGCUGGCGGCGUGCCUAAUACAUGCAAGUAGAACGCUGAAGCUUGGUGCUUGCACCGAGCGGAUGAGUUGCGAACGGGUGAGUAACGCGUAGGUAACCUGCCUCUUAGCGGGGGAUAACUAUUGGAAACGAUAGCUAAUACCGCAUAAAAGUCGAUAUCGCAUGAAGUUGACUUGAAAGGUGCAAUCGCAUCACUAAGAGAUGGACCUGCGUUGUAUUAGCUAGUUGGUGAGGUAACGGCUCACCAAGGCGACGAUACAUAGCCGACCUGAGAGGGUGAUCGGCCACACUGGGACUGAGACACGGCCCAGACUCCUACGGGAGGCAGCAGUAGGGAAUCUUCGGCAAUGGGGCAACCCUGACCGAGCAACGCCGCGUGAGUGAAGAAGGUUUUCGGAUCGUAAAGCUCUGUUGUAAGAGAAGAACGAGUGUGAGAGUGGAAAGUUCACACUGUGACGGUAACUUACCAGAAAAGGACGGCUAACUAC
rnacentral:rRNA from 1 species